CAGUAGCCGCGGGAAUACAGAGGGUGCGAGCGUUAAUCGGAUUUACUGGGCGUAAAGCGUGCGUAGGCGGCUUCUUAAGUCGGAUGUGAAAUCCCUGAGCUUAACUUAGGAAUUGCAUUCGAUACUGGGAAGCUAGAGUAUGGGAGAGGAUGGUAGAAUUCCAGGUGUAGCGGUGAAAUGCGUAGAGAUCUGGAGGAAUACCGAUGGCGAAGGCAGCCAUCUGGCCUAAUACUGACGCUGAGGUACGAAAGCAUGGGGAGCAAACAGGAUUAGAUACCCGCGUAGUCCCUGUCACUUAUAC
rnacentral:rRNA from 1 species